AAUGUUUUUGGUAUUUUUCUAAGCCUUAGUAGUUGGAUUUUAAUGCCCAUAUCGAAGAACUGAGAAAUUUUCACUUUAAGGCCGAUCAACAACCUAGGCCUUUUUUUUUUUUGUUUUUCCUUUUCUUUUUGUAUUUUCGCCUUUGGUCUCAUCUUGUUUGGUACCCGUUUACUGGCAUUGGUUACUCGACACCACCUAUCGAGUUAAAGCUGCCGUAGCCAUCACAACACACUGAAGCCCCACUGAACUAUAUCGUACAUCAGCAAGUUGACCCUCUCGCUUGCUCACUGUAAAUUUUGCUGCACCCUACCGUCUUUCUGGAAGUAGUCUUUAGUGGCGGGAGUGCUAUUACCUGAUAUACCCAGGCGGAGUGAUACCACCCCGUGACGACUUGACCUGGAGCGGUUCAACCGAAUAACCUACGCACUCUUCAGAUAAGCCUAAUAUUAGUUUAGUAUAUUAUUUGUAGCGUUUAAGUUUUGCACUUCAUAGAUGUAAAAGCUUCACUUCUGCAUCAUUAGUCACCAUUAUUUAUUGUCUGAUUUUUAUGUACUGUUUUUAAAUUUCACCCAUACGUGCCUAAACGUACCUAAAAUAAGAACCUUGGUAAUAAUUUGUUUUUGUCACGCCUUUUACAAGUGCUAUAGAUAAUCCAUCGAACAUAUAAAUUUUUACAUUUAGUACACCUACCUGUGUAAACCUCUGGUACAGCGCUGUAGUAAAGGGAAAUCUUUUUUUAACUUGGCUUUUCUCAAUCUGCCAAGAUUUAUACAUAUUUGUUUUGUUUAUAUCUGAUAUAUUCGCUCAAGUGACAUUAACCUAUAAGACCCAAAACAAUACUGGUUGCCAGAUCAGUAGGCACGAAUUAUACACUAGCCAUGGAACUUGAUCGACGUUGAUCCGCUCGACGUCUGGCGCGUUCCACAAACUAUAGUAAAGUGAUCCGAUCACAUGUACAUGUACUCUGAUACAAUAUAUGAGUAGAUUUUAAA